rnacentral:rRNA from 1 species
AUUGAACGCUGGCGGCAUGCCUUACACAUGCAAGUCGAACGGCGGCACGGGAGCAAUCCUGGUGGCGAGUGGCGAACGGGUGAGUAAUAUAUCGGAACGUGCCCAAUCGUGGGGGAUAACGCAGCGAAAGCUGUGCUAAUACCGCAUACGAUCUAAGGAUGAAAGCGGGGGAUUCGCAAGAACCUCGCGCGAAUGGAGCGGCCGAUAUCAGAUUAGCUAGUUGGUGGGGUAAAAGCUCACCAAGGCGACGAUCUGUAGCUGGUCUGAGAGGACGACCAGCCACACUGGAACUGAGACACGGUCCAGACUCCUACGGGAGGCAGCAGUGGGGAAUUUUGGACAAUGGACGCAAGUCUGAUCCAGCCAUUCCGCGUGCAGGAUGAAGGCCCUCGGGUUGUAAACUGCUUUUGUACGGUAACGAAAAAAGUACCGGGGUUAAUACCCUAGGGCCCAUGACGGUACCGUAAGAAUAAGCACCGGCUAACUACGUGCCAGCAGCCG